GGGUUGUGAGGUUAAGCGACUAAGCGUACACGGUGGAUGCCCUGGCAGUCAGAGGCGAUGAAGGACGUGCUAAUCUGCGAUAAGCGUCGGUAAGGUGAUAUGAACCGUUAUAACCGGCGAUUUCCGAAUGGGGAAACCCAGUGUGUUUCGACACACUAUCAUUAACUGAAUCCAUAGGUUAAUGAGGCGAACCGGGGGAACUGAAACAUCUAAGUACCCCGAGGAAAAGAAAUCAACCGAGAUUCCCCCAGUAGCGGCGAGCGAACGGGGAGCAGCCCAGAGCCUGAAUCAGUGUGUGUGUUAGUGGAAGCGUCUGGAAAGGCGCGCGAUACAGGGUGACAGCCCCGUACACAAAAAUGCACAUACUGUGAGCUCGAUGAGUAGGGCGGGACACGUGGUAUCCUGUCUGAAUAUGGGGGGACCAUCCUCCAAGGCUAAAUACUCCUGACUGACCGAUAGUGAACCAGUACCGUGAGGGAAAGGCGAAAAGAACCCCGGCGAGGGGAGUGAAAAAGAACCUGAAACCGUGUACGUACAAGCAGUGGGAGCCUCUUUUAUGGGGUGACUGCGUACCUUUUGUAUAAUGGGUCAGCGACUUAUAUUCUGUAGCAAGGUUAACCGAAUAGGGGAGCCGAAGGGAAACCGAGUCUUAACCGGGCGUUAAGUUGCAGGGUAUAGACCCGAAACCCGGUGAUCUAGCCAUGGGCAGGUUGAAGGUUGGGUAACACUAACUGGAGGACCGAACCGACUAAUGUUGAAAAAUUAGCGGAUGACUUGUGGCUGGGGGUGAAAGGCCAAUCAAACCGGGAGAUAGCUGGUUCUCCCCGAAAGCUAUUUAGGUAGCGCCUCGUGAAUUCAUCUCCGGGGGUAGAGCACUGUUUCGGCAAGGGGGUCAUCCCGACUUACCAACCCGAUGCAAACUGCGAAUACCGGAGAAUGUUAUCACGGGAGACACACGGCGGGUGCUAACGUCCGUCGUGAAGAGGGAAACAACCCAGACCGCCAGCUAAGGUCCCAAAGUCAUGGUUAAGUGGGAAACGAUGUGGGAAGGCCCAGACAGCCAGGAUGUUGGCUUAGAAGCAGCCAUCAUUUAAAGAAAGCGUAAUAGCUCACUGGUCGAGUCGGCCUGCGCGGAAGAUGUAACGGGGCUAAACAAUGCACCGAAGCUGCGGCAGCGACACUGUGUGUUGUUGGGUAGGGGAGCGUUCUGUAAGCCUGUGAAGGUGUACUGUAAGGUAUGCUGGAGGUAUCAGAAGUGCGAAUGCUGACAUAAGUAACGAUAAAGCGGGUGAAAAGCCCGCUCGCCGGAAGACCAAGGGUUCCUGUCCAACGUUAAUCGGGGCAGGGUGAGUCGACCCCUAAGGCGAGGCCGAAAGGCGUAGUCGAUGGGAAACAGGUUAAUAUUCCUGUACUUGGUGUUACUGCGAAGGGGGGACGGAGAAGGCUAUGUUGGCCGGGCGACGGUUGUCCCGGUUUAAGCGUGUAGGCUGGUUUUCCAGGCAAAUCCGGAAAAUCAAGGCUGAGGCGUGAUGACGAGGCACUACGGUGCUGAAGCAACAAAUGCCCUGCUUCCAGGAAAAGCCUCUAAGCAUCAGGUAACAUCAAAUCGUACCCCAAACCGACACAGGUGGUCAGGUAGAGAAUACCAAGGCG
rnacentral:rRNA from 1 species